GGGCCCGUAGCUCAGCGGUCAGAGCGGCCGGCUCAUAACCGGUUGGUCGCAGGUUC
rnacentral:tRNA from 1 species